AAUAUUGGACAAUGGGGGCAACCCUGAUCCAGCCAUGCCGCGUGUGUGAAGAAGGUCUUCGGAUCGUAAAGCUCUGUCCUUGGGGAAGAAGGUCUUCGGACUUGACGGUACCUAAGGAGGAAGCCCCGGCUAACUACGUGCCAGCAGCCGCGGUAAUACGUAGGGGGCAAGCGUUGUCCGGAAUUAUUGGGCGUAAAGGGUGCGUAGGCGGCCUAUUAAGUCAGAUGUGAAAGAUCACGGCUCAACCGUGGUAAGCAUUUGAAACUGGUGGACUUGAGUUAUGGAGAGGAAAGUGGAAUUCCUAGUGUAGCGGUGAAAUGCGUAGAUAUUAGGAGGAAUACCAGUGGCGAAGGCGACUUUCUGGACAUAUACUGACGCUGAGGAACGAAAGCGUGGGGAGCAAACA
rnacentral:rRNA from 1 species